GACGGAGGAUGCAAGCGUUAUCCGGAAUUAUUGGGCGUAAAGCGUCCGUAGGCGGUUUCAAAAGUCUGUUGUUAAAGCUCACAGCUCAACUGUGAAUCGGCAAUGGAAACUGUGAGACUAGAGAGUGGUAGGGGUAGAGGGAAUUCCUAGUGUAGCGGUGAAAUGCGUAGAUAUUAGGAAGAACACCAGUGGCGAAGGCGCUCUACUGGGCCAUUACUGACGCUGAUGGACGAAAGCUAGGGGAGCGAAAGGG
rnacentral:rRNA from 1 species